AAAAUCUUUUUAAGAGUAUUUAAUGAAAGUCUUGGUAAAAUAAGGUAUUAAGGACGUCGCGCGACGAAACAUUAUGAGUAGGCACAGGCCUGUGAUCCAUAAGUUUCCUAAAAGAAAACUUUUAAUUUAAAUUAAUUUAUUACCGCGAAAAUUGAAUCAUCUUAGUAUCGCGAAAAAAAAUCAAACGAGAGUCCGUAAGUAGUGGCGAAUGAAAACGGAGUAGGCUUAUUAAAUUUAUAAAAUAUUUCUAGAAUUUCUUAAAAAGGUAAAAGCCCUGUAUAGAGUAUUAAAAUUUAACAGUUUUUAAGUAAUGCGAUUUAACUUGCAUGAACAAGGGAGAACCACCUUCCAAGCCUAAAACCUUUUUUGACCGAUAGUGAACGAGUACUGUGAAGGAAAGACUAAAAUAACCGUAAGGGUAAAAUUAUAAAUGAAAUUAAAUACUUAAUUUUGAAGUUAAAUAUAAAUGACAAAAUGCCUUUUGCAUAAUGAGUCAGUAAGUUAAUUAAUAUAGCAAGCUUAAUUACGUAUUUUGAAGCAAAAUUUAAAUAGUUAUAUUUAUUAAACCUGAAGCCAAGUGAUCUAACUAUGAACAAGUUGAAAAUUUGGUAACGCAUCUUUGAAGACUGAACUCUUACAUGUAGCAAAAUGUUGAGAAGAUUUGUGGUUAGGGGUGAAAGGCCAAUCAAACUUGGCGAUAGCCGGUUUUUCACGAAACGUAUUUAAGUACGGCAUUGUUAUAGUAAGUUGUAGGUACAGUUACAAGCAAAAACUUAGGGGUUGAUAAGACUUACUAAAUUAGGCUUAACUUUGAAUUUUUACUUAAUUUUAACAAUAGACAGUCUAAAGGCGAUAAGGUCUAUAGACAAAAGGGCAACAACCCUAAUCGUAUUUUAAGGUCCUUAAAUUAUAACUUAGUGUGAAAAGUUUUAAGUAAAUCAAAUAAAUUUAUUAAGAAUAGGCUUAGAAGCAGCCUUUUAUUGUAGAAAGCGUUCUAGCUCAUUAUCUGUUUACUUAAAACUUAAAAUAAUCGGGGCUCCAAGUUUAUAUACCGAAAAAACGAAUUAUGUAUAUUAAAUGGUAGUGAAACGCUCUGUACUUAAAUUUUUAUAAUGAUAAUUAAAAAAUUAUAUUCAGAGGUGCUAAUGCUGACAUGAGUAGCGCAAACUACGUAGAAUCGUAGUCACCUAUUGUUUAAGGUUUUCAACGUAAUUUUAAAUUCGUUGAGUUAGUCGGUCCUUAAAAAAAAAGUAAAUACUUAGAUUGAUAGGAAAUUUUACCAGCUAUAUACACUUAAAAUUUUUAGUGUGUACGGGUUAUUAAUUUUUAUGAGUUACUUAAUAUUGGUUUGUUCUGUAUUUUAUAUUAACCCCAAGAAAAAAUUAUAGUUAUUUAUUUGACCGUACCUAAACCGACACAGGUAAACUUGUUGAACAUACAAAGGUGAAUGGGCUAAUUAAACUUAAGGAACUCGGCAAAUUUACUCUGUAAGUUAGCAAAAAGGAGUACCAAUUUAAAUUUGGUGACAUAUAAUAAAAAGCAACGACUGGUUAUCAAAAUCAUAGGACUCUGCUAAUUAGUAAUUAAUAUGUAUAGAGUCUGACACCUGCCCAGUGCUUGAAAAUAAAUAAUUUAAGUUUAUAGCUUAGAUUUUAAUUACAAGUAAACGGCGGUUCUAACUAUAAGAAUCCUUAGGUAGCGAAAUUCCUUGGCGGGUAAAUUCCGUCCUGCAUGAACGGUGUCACGAUUGCUUUACUGUCUCGAGUUUAACCCCAGCGAAAUUACAUUACCUAUGAAAAUGUAGGUAUCCUGCAGUAAGACGGAAAGACCCUAGAUCCUUUACUUAAAUUUUAUAUUGAAAAAUUUGCUUUUAUUGCGUAGAAUAAAUGGGAGUAAUUAAUUACAACAAUGAAAUACCAUUCGUAAAAAUACAUUUUUCUUGAUUUAUUUUUUAGAGAACAUAUAAAACAGAAAGUUUACUUGGGACGAGUACCUCCUAAAAAGUAACGGAGGUGUACAAAAAAUAAGUUACAGCCUAUUUUAAAGUUAGGUGAAGCGUACAAUAGCAUAAACUUGUUUGAUAAUUAGAUUGAUAAAUCGAAUUAGGACGUAAGUCAGUUAUAGUGACCCGGUGUUCAUUUGUGGAAAUAUCACCGCUCAACAAAUAAAAGGAACUCUAGGGAUAACAGAUUCAUCAUGGCUGAGAGUUCUUAUUGACGCCAUGGUUUGAUACCUCGAUGUCGACUCAUCUUAUCCUGGAAUUGAAGAAGAUUCCAAGGGUCUAGUUGUUCGCUAGUGAAGAAGGUACGUGAGUUGGGUUCAGAACGUCGUGAGACAGUUCGGUCCCUAUCUGCUGUAGGUAAGAAAAGAAAAAGCGUUAUUUUUAGUACGAGAGGACCAAAAUAUUUUAACCUAUGGUUUACUGGUUGUUAUUACCAUUAGCACCGCCAGGUAGCUACGUUAAUUGUGUUUAUGUACUGAAAGCAUCAAUGGUACGAAAGCAUCCUUUCUUCUUUUCAAGAAUAAUCUAGUAGAUUAUUAGAUAGAUCGAUUUGAAAGAUAUUUUAGUAAUGAAAUUGCUUGACAAAUACGAAUUAUUCAACAGGAUUUUAUAA
rnacentral:rRNA from 1 species